rnacentral:tRNA from 1 species
GGGCCCGUGGACUAGCUGGUCAUGACAUCGCCCUUACACGGCGGGGAUCGCGCGUUCGAAUCGCGUCGGGCCCA